CUUCUUCUAAAUGGAUAGGAGGGGUUUCAAUGCGAGAUCUAAAAAGAUAUCUCUACGGGGCACCGGUAGUAAGUAUUAUAUGGUUCGGGGCUUUAGCGGGUCUAUUAAUCGAGAUCAAUUGUUUAU